GAUGAACGCUGGCGGCGUGCUUAACACAUGCAAGCCGAACGGAAAGGCUCCUGCUUGCAGGGGUACUCGAGUGGCGAACGGGUGAGUAACACGUGGGUGAUCUGCCCUGCACUUCGGGAUAAGCCUGGGAAACUGGGUCUAAUACCGGAUAGGACGAUGGUUUGGAUGCCAUUGUGGAAAGUUUUUUCGGUGUGGGAUGAGCUCGCGGCCUAUCAGCUUGUUGGUGGGGUAAUGGCCUACCAAGGCGUCGACGGGUAGCCGGCCUGAGAGGGUGUACGGCCACAUUGGGACUGAGAUACGGCCCAGACUCCUACGGGAGGCAGCAGUGGGGAAUAUUGCACAAUGGGCGCAAGCCUGAUGCAGCGACGCCGCGUGGGGGAUGACGGCCUUCGGGUUGUAAACUCCUUUCGCUAGGGACGAAGCGCAAGUGACGGUACCUGGAGAAGAAGCACCGGCUAACUACGUG
rnacentral:rRNA from 1 species